rnacentral:misc_RNA from 1 species
AGGGAUUAUGGAAGGUGUGUGGUUGUUCUUUUUAUUUUAUGUAUUUGCUAGUAUUGCUUAUUGUUUGACAGUUUGCUACUUCGUGGAAGUCUAAAACUGUUUGUUUCUAGCCAGUAUAAAACGAUGGAAUGGUUCUGUUACUACGUGGUUUGAGAGUACUAAAAUUCUGCUUCUUUUUUUCAAUGACUUCUGAUAUUUUUCAUAGUGUUCCUAUUAUUUUGAUCAUUGUUUUGCUUCAUGGUUUUUGUAGGUUAUUAAUUGGCCAAACAUUACUUUCAAUUGGAUGUUACCCCUUGUAAGAAAAAAAUUGCUACAGCUAGUUGAUCCAAAGUACUAAUGUCUUUACCAUCCUUUGAUUUGUUCAAUCGAUAACUUAUAUUUGGUAGUUGAAUCAAGUAAUGUUAAGAAAUGCAUUUAGAUACGCUUGGGAUUUUUUUUUUAUCAUGAUUUUAGCUUGACUUCUGAGGGCAGUUCUGUUUGAUCAGAAGACUUUGGACCAAUAUGCUGUUGAAAUUG